rnacentral:rRNA from 1 species
UACGUAGGGUGCAAACGUAAUCGGAAUUACUGGGCGUAAAGCGUGCGCAGGCGGUUCGCUAAGACCGAUGUGAAAUCCCCGGCUAACCUGGGAACUGCAUGGUGACUGGCGGGCUAGAGUAUGGCAGAGGGGGGUAGAAUUCCACGUGUAGCAGUGAAAUGCGUAGAGAUGUGGAGGAAUACCGAUGGCGAAGGCAGCCCCCUGGGCCAAUACUGACGCUCAUGUACGAAAGCGUGGGGAGCAAACAGG